UGUUUGUAUAGUGUGUGUAUAUAAUGCAGUGUGUUUGUGUAGUGUGCAUUAUAUAAACACACUACACAAACACACUGCAUUAUAUACACACACUGCAUUAUA